rnacentral:lncRNA from 1 species
UUCUCCUACUCCCCAUUAGAACAAAUAAAAGUCUCGUCCACUAAAUAACACACAAAUGGCCACUUUGUCUAGCUAGUAAACAACACACAAAUGACCAUCUUGUCUGGCACGAGACGCACCAUGUCAUACCACAUUUUGCCACUAAACAAUGAAAGAUAAUAUUUGUUUUAAGUAAAAAUGCUAAUUUUAUAAAAAUCUAAAAAUUUUAAAAUUUUAUUUUAUUGAAAAAUCAGGCCUAUUUAUUUUCCGGUCAUAAAAUU